CUUAGAGGAAUGAAAAGCAAAGAUGACUCAUUUCCCAGAAAGCAGUAUAGUCAAAGGAAGAAAGUUACUAUAAUGGCAGAUGAAACCGUUAUACAUGAAAGGAAACUUCUGACUACGCUGACACUGUGAAGUUGUGUUUAGCGGCUUGAAGCCAUUUCUGCAGCAAGAAGACAGGGAGGUUAUUCCCGAGCACAGUCCCACCAAUCAGCCUGGUUUUGAGCCCUCAGCAUUGCUCGCUAAGCCUAUUACUAGUGCUGAAGCAACCUGUCACAACCUGUUGAGCUGCCCCAGGUUCCAUCCCAUGACAUGGACGUACCAGCUUUGCACAAUGCCUGGUGGCACAUCCCUCCAAAAGGAAGUGGGAAGAUUAAAGAAAGAUACUGAGGACCUGGAAUGUGCCCAGAGGGGGGCAAUGAAGCUGUGAAUGGUUUGGAGCACAAGUCUUGUGGAGAGCGGCAGAGGGAACUGGUGUUGAACACUCUGGAAAAGAGGAGGCUCAAGGGAGACCUUAUUGCUCUCUACAGUGCCCUGAAAGGAGGCUGUGGUGAGCCUUUAUGAUUCUAUGUGGAAGAUGGCAUGGAAAUAGUGCCUCAUCAAUGUUUCCUGGGGGAAAAACUGGAAUAGCACUGGAAAAAUGGGCUAUGCUGGGCUUUGCUGCCUAAAAACCAGAGCAGAGACAGGCCUUCUGAGAGAGAUUAUUCCAGCAAAAAUACUGCAUGAUCAGAGGCAGUUCCACUGAGUAAAAUAUAAAUGCAAUAGAAAAUACAGACUUCGAGGAGCAUCCAUUGUCCCCUCCAGGUCAAGCAGUGAUCUUGAAAGAUGAACCAGCAUGGAGAGAGCUCAGAAGGAGCGAUGUGAGCACAUCUACUGGUGGAAUAUCUGCUCCUGCAGUGGCACACAAGUCAGGUUGUCCGACAGAAAAUUGGAAUGGUAAUGAGGAAUAAGAGAAGAGAGAAAGCAAAAAGGAAUACUUCGUACUCACAUCAUAACAAGUCUUAAGAGAAGGGGAUGGGAGAUAAUGUCACUGCCAGUUCAAAAGGUGGAUACAAAAAUAUAAUGAAGGUGCCUGUAUUUCAACACGUUGUCCAGAAAGUGCACUAGCAUCUGAAAGUACAAAAAUACUCAGAACAAUCUAGCAUUUUCAGGAUGUAAGUGUGUUUCUACCUGUUAAAAGGAAAGGCGAGAGAGAGAAUCCAGUUGCUAUGGAAAUCAGGCCAUCUCCAUGGGAAUUCAGAAAGUAGAGUAUCCUCUUGGCCAGUAAAUCAGACACUGAGCAGCCAUUUCUGGACCAUGGCACUGAGCAAAUCUAAGCUGCUCACAGGACAGUUUGUUUCCUCAGCACUGCUGCCCUAUCUCAGUAUCAAUGAAAUGGGUGGAAAAAAAAAAGGGUUAUUGGUGAAAUUAAGAAUUUGCUUUGUAGAAUGUAAGGAAGGUUCAGGGGAGAACUGCUAGCAGCCUUUCAGUAUCUAAAGGGGGAGUCAAUAAGAAAGGGACAGAUUCUUUAGCAGGGUCUGCUGUGACAGGACAAGGGGAUAUGGGAUGUGGUUUUAUUUCCCCUAAACUGAAAGAGGGGAGAUUUACACUGGAUAUAAGGAAAAAGUUUUGUACAUUAAGACCAGUGAGGCUCUGGCACGGGCUGCCCUGGGAGGUGGUGGGUGCCCCAUCCCUGGAGACAGCUGAGGUCAGCCUGGAUGGGCUCUGAGCACCUGACGGAGCUGUGGGUGUCCAUGUUCAGUGCAAGGGCAGUUGGACCAGAUGGCUUUUAAAGGAUCCUUCCAACUCAAACAAUUCCAUGAUUCUCUGAUUCUCCUGCAUGUUUCUGUGGAGAUGUGUUUUGUGCCUUUGCUUUAGCUACAGUUAUUGGGAUUUACGUGGCUGGAAAAAUAAUAAUGGACCUCUUGAUUUUGCUUCUCAGCAAAUAUUUUUUUAUUCACAUUAGUUGCUGUGGAAAAACAAAGGAUCAGAUAGGUGUAUAUGCAGGAAAUAAAAGGAAACAAAGGCCACAUUAAAGAAUAUAAAAGGAGGAGCUGAUGUACAAACCCACACCUCGUCCAGGACUCCCCUCUUCGCGUUAAUGGACAAAUAUUCGUGGUGCCACUGGAGGAUCCAAUUCCCUUGCCAUAGGCAGCAGCCUCCAGCUCUGCUGCUCCUGAUUGCUUAGAGGUUGGGGCCCCACAGAGGCCCCCAAGCACAGCUCUUCCAGUCAGCGCCCCACAGCAAGGUUCACUCUGCUGUCACCUGAUGUAUGAGAUUGAGAAGCUUUGAGACUUUUGAGAUUUUGAUGCUUUGCUACAGAGCUUUCUUCUGUUUCAUCAUUGCAUUUAAUCACUGGUGGGCAGCUGGUCCCUAGAGCCCGGGAGGUUGGGUACUGCUGGAGUUGAAAGCUUUGGCAUGAGCGCCAGUGUGCAGACGAUGGAAAGCAGGUGAUGGAUUUACAGUGCUGAAAUCCUUGCUAUGACUGCUAUGCAAACACCAUAUAUUAUAGCUGUAAGUCCUGCAUAAGCCAAGAAGAUUAAAAAACACCUUGUAGAAAAGAGCUCCGGUCGGAUAUGCCUUUGUUCACGAGGACAACUAUGCAGUGGUACUAAUGCAUGGAUGUCAUUUAGUGCUGGGGGAGUUAAUGGGGCUUUAUUUGAAUAUAUUUCAGCUGCAUGAGUAAGGCUCACAGGCAGAAGUGUCUGUCUGGUGAACGUGUGUUGGAGGACACUGUCUGACAUUGAUGGAAAGCUGCUUGAUAGAGUUUCAUCUUUCAAUUCAUUUAGAUUUUUAAAGCUCAGGUUAAGUUGCCCAACUUAAUUUGCAAUCAUUUAAAGUAGGAGUUAAGUGAAGGUCACAGGCUGCUCUAAAUUAGAGGGAAACCACUGUAGCACUUGCAUGCUUUGACCUUUUCAGUGUUUUCUGACUCUGCUGACCAGCUGAGCUCUUUAUAGCACUGUUAACCUGUGAGAAAUGUGUGAAGUGGUCAUUUCCCACAGUAAAGCAGGAAAUUUUGAAAGGUUAAAGUAGCAGUGAAUAUUCCUGGCAAGAGCGAGUACGGAAUCCCUUGGAACUGAUGAUUUGUGUGUACGUGCAUCUUCCUGCUUUGCAGUGUUUGUGUUAGAAGGAAAGAGAAGAGGAUGCAAAGCAGGGCUGUAGGCAGCCCACCCGAGCUCUCUCUGCAGGUUAUCCCAGAAAUCAGCUUGGUGCAUAGGGUGCUCUAAUACCCACAGGAAUCCACGCUGUCUCAGAGCUCUAAAAAAUGAUACUACAAAAAUCCCAGAAGUAACAUCAAACUCAGGACAUGGGUCUUUCCUAGAUUCCAUAUGCAGAACUUGGGGAAAAGACAGAUCUCCGUGUUCCCCCAUCCCUGGUGAUGGUCAAGGCCAGGUUGGAUUUGGCUCUGGGCAGCCUCAUCUGGUGGGUGGCAGCCAGCCCACAGCACGGAUUGGUCCUUUCCAAUCUAAGCCAUUCUAUGAAUCUGUGAUGUACCUGAUGUUAACAGCAGUGAGCCCAGGCAGUGCAGUAGAUGGGAUGUGCUAUUGCAGUGCUCAAAGAGUAAAAUCCCUAUGCUCCGUGCCUCAUCUUUUUUAUGUACUUGUUUUCUUCCUUCCUGGUGUUUACGAUCCAGCUGCACGUUCUGCAGCUCUCUUCUACCUUUAAUGAGGCAAAAUGGAAAAGCUGUAAAACAGGGCCACCAUCAGUGUAGCGUCCUGGGGCUGCCAUAAUGAGAAGUUUCUGGUCCUCAUGAUACAAUAUCUUGGUGGCAGUGUCUAGUCCCACUUUCUUUGUGCAUAGGGCCAACAUAGGACAGCCCCUUUCUUCCAUUUCCUCCUGAUCACGGGGGUACAAGGCAGCUGUCAGAUGCUCAUUUGGAUUUUGUGGAUGUCACAGAUACCCAGAGAGUGGAAAGAAAAAGGCAGUUUGCUCUGAGAAACAAGAAGGGCUUUAUUUUGUUGCAAUACAUUCUAAAUAUACAGUAAGGGUCAAAAGUCUCUUCUGUUGCCCUAGGACUCCUGAUUGCUGCAGGCUAAGCCACCAACUCUGAGGGUCUGUGUAAGAGGGCAGAAAUGAGUAGCUCAUCGUUAAGCAUCCUGUUUGUCCAAUGCAUUGGUCAGGGGCUGACAGUUUCCAUUCUGGAGCUCUCAGACAAUAAAGCAGCUCCUGAGCAUCCCUGCAAGGUGGUGCGGGUCACACCAGCCUCCUCCAUCCCCAUGAAGCUUAGAAAAGCACAGAAAUGCCAGUUGCCUUUCCAGACCACCUUCCAGCAUGGCAGGGAAAGGGCUGGCGUUACACAUGCUGAUAGCGAUAGUACAUGAUAUGCAGUCAGCAGUUUGUUGCAAUCAGAGCUUCUGCUGAGCACGUCGAAAGCCUGCCCCUUUCCUGUUAAUUGAAUGUAAGCCCUUCGGUACUUCUCUCCCUUUGAUCUCUCUCGGAAUGAGACUUAAGGCUAUUAAGGCAGAGGAACCAGCGAGCACAAUGCUGGCAGUAAUCUGUGUCAGGAUGAAGGGAUGUUACGCAAGAGACCAGGAAUGAGAUGCAGUGUGAUUUUUUUCUCUCUCUCUCCCCUCCCCACCCCACCAAUACACACACACACAUUUUCUCAUCUAAUCCCAAGGGGUUCUUUGUAAUAUUUGCUGGAUGGCAACUACAAACACCGGUGGACGCAAGGAGAAAAAACGUCAUGCAACAAACAUGUAGAAAAGCUCGUUUGCCCUGAAACACUGCAUCUCUCCAGCAAAACCUGCCUGCUUACAGGGGAUACAAAUGACUCUUUGAAGCAAAUGCACGUUACUGUGUUCAGCGUGCAGCAUUACUGCAGGAUUUAAACAUAGCAAAGCAGAGGGAAUUGCUGAUCACAUUGGAACCAAAAUGAGAAUAAAUGCAUGAUAAGAAAAAAUAGAUUAGAAGAUAAUUACUUCAAUUCAUUUUGUACCUGGAGCAAUUACUGUUUGGAUUAGAGAUGACUUGUAGGUGAAAUAGUUAGGUCUGCAAUAGAAACUGUAGACACAAUGUUAAUAGUUAAAAUGUCAGUGCAAAGCUUCAUUAAAGGAGAAACCCAGCUCCAAACUUGGUUUGGUAUUUUCUUCCAUGAUUACCACAGUGAGCACUUAUGUAACACGCUGCAUAUUUCAAAGCAAGUUAUAAAAUUAGCUAGGAAGAGCACGUAAUGCCUCUUUGCAGAGCUGGAGGUGAGCAUGCAGCACCUUUCAGAUGGUGCUCAGAAUACCGUAACAUCCCUAGCUUCUAAUUUAGGGAUCUAAAAUUACGAAGCCAAGGAAUCUGAUUCUGGGACCUAUAAAAAUGCCUAUUUUUAAUCUGUCAGGACACACAUAGGAGAGAGAGACGCAAAGAGAGGACAUAGUUAUUAUUUCAUUGCUGAAGUUCGUUGGGAUUUUUCUGAACACUGUUCCUAUGAACCUGGAAGGAGAAAGGCUGAAGGAGAAGAAAACCUGAAACAUUUCAGCCUGCUUUUAUUUUCUGGUUAAAAAUUAAAGAAGAAAGAAGUUAUGUAGAGCAGGCGAAAUAAACACCUGAAUCUUAAAAGACUGAAAAGGCAUUUUGUAGCCACUGACCAGAGCUGAAGACAUACAGAAUAAAGCUGGCAAUUGAUAUGUGUUGCAAAACCUCAUGCCAAGUAAAAACCUGACCUGUAUUUCAGCAGCUGCAGGCACCUUUCUGGUAUCUUCCCAGCAGUGCUGGGAGGUGUUCAGCCGAACAGCAAAGCCAUGUGUGCUGCAAGUCCCCAGCCUCCCUUUAGGGGACAGAGCUUCCCGAUGGCUGCUUUGAUUGUCUGUUUUCAAAAUACAAUCACAUGUGGAUAUUAAAAAUAGCAUCAUGCUGAGUUGCUUCCUGUGAAAACAGGUUCCAGUGCUAGGAAACUAAACACAAUUUUAAACGUUAUCAUCCAACUAAUCGUGUUGUUAUUCCAUUUCAGUCCAUAUAAUUUCUCUGGUAUGAACCUGGGUCACUUUUGCAUAUGUCCAAUCUAUUUUAUAUAUAUAUGUUGACUCUAUUUGCACACUCAGAUGGGAGACAUAUGCCUCUUCUCAUUUGGGCAGGCCAUAGCGUUAUUAAAAUGGAAAUGUGCAGGCUUUGGGAUCCAACUGCAACAUAUGUUUAAAAAUGAAAGAUAAUUCUUUAGUUGUAACUACCAGAAGAACUUGGAGCUUUUGACUCCGUGUAUAAUUACCACAAGACCUUAGCAGCUUAAUUCACCAGGUAAUUACAUGGUUAUUUUUUGUUCUAUAAAAGGUAAAGAGGUAACAUUUAAUUUACAGGGUGCUGCAUAAUCCUGUAAUUACUUGGUAAUUUCCGUGUCGUCACACAAUAAAAGCAGGGGCCUUCCCAUGGCCCAGAUAUGACAUGAUGGAAACUCAAAUUCUGCUCAGCACCAUCAGGAAAACAGAGGGAUUUCUUUGCCUCCUUGAGAUGUGAAGCUCAGGGAACGAGAAGUUGAGAAACUGAAGGAUGUGGACCAGUUUGCAAACAAGAGAUUCUCCGCCCCCUCCCCGUCAUGGCACCAUUCACCUCCAGCUCUUCAGAACAGCAGCCCCUGGGAUCAGACCACAGUGCCUCUUCCUUGCUCCUUGCCAUUGCAGCUCAUGUGUUAGCAGUAUUCUCCCCUCCCAACAGAAGGAAAAACACCUGUGAUGUGGUUUUGGGUUCUGCUAUUGGAUGAUUAUGGCUUUUAUUGCCCAACAUUUUGAUUACACAGAUAAUUCCUCCAGGUCUCAUCAUAGAGGAGCAGUAGCAACUAUAAAAGGAUGGCAACUCUUGCCGGAAGCAAACCCCUUUACAUUCAUUGCAUAACUGCAGCUGAGCUGCCCAUCACUCAAUACGCCAAUGUCCUGUCCUGGAUGCAAAUGUCAGCCUGGACAUUUCUGACCACACUUGUGUGUUCUCUCCUCUGUCCUUCUGCUGCUCCUUUCACAGAGCCUUAGCACAUUAUACUUCUUCACCUGCAGCUUUCAACACCAUAUUCUGUCAAAUAAGGCUUUGCAAAUAUAUGUCGAUUGCUCCAAAAGUACUGCCUCCUGUUUAUUUCCAUUAAAAAUCACAGCAGAUAGAGCACAAUAACAUUAUUACUUUUGGAACAGUUCUCAUACAUGCUCUAUGUACCAAGAAAAGACCAUCCAGAGAGUGUGGUUGCAACCUCUUACACCCAGGCAUCACUCUCCUCUGCAAAUCAUGCUGUGUUCAAAAAGACCCUUUAAAAUAGCAGGUUCCAUCCCUUGAGCACCUGCAAUUUCCAUCAUAUUCAAAAGGACUCGCAUUCAAACGCAGUGUGACAUUGGCUUUGGGCAGGAACGGUGUGAGAAAGUUCCUCUCCCCAAAGUCCUAUGGGAGGGCUCGUUCUGGGCUGAGCCCGCAGCCAAGUGAGCAGAGCACAUUUAUAUAAAUAAAAGCAGCACCUGCACUUCCUAACAAUAAAAUAAAGAGCCUAUUAGUCUUCAUGCUGCAGGGUAUCAGGAAAUAAUCUCCCCCAGCCUGGGACAGCAAUGCACAACCACCUCAUUACAGUGUGAGCUCUCUUCCUUUCCCGGGAGUGCUUUUUCAGCCCCUUUUCCUCAUUGGUGUCACUGUUUCCAUGCUGGGAGCAGGUACAGCACAGAAGCAAAUGGGACUUCUAAGGUUUAGCACACAGCUGUGCUAUGUACACAGCUCUGAUUAAGAAAUAUCUUUAUUCUGCCCAUAUACUGCAGGCAUCCACUCCUACCACUCUUGACACGAUAACCCAUAAAAGCUAUGGACUAAUGCAUUAAUAAUCCACGAGUAAAGGUCCCAAAGUGCCCAUUGACAUUAUAGCCAUUAAGGUGCAGUGUGUCAAUAACAAUACAUAGCACGAGAGCAGACAUGCUGCCUGCAUGAACGCGAGUGCGCAUACCCACUGCUGUUUAAUCCUACGCAGUCACAUCAGCUCCUCUCUGAUCUUAGGGGACUAACGUGACAAAAAUCCCUUACGACUGCUACCGUGUGCGUUUAACGAGGAAGAACGAGCUGCUUCAGCCUGGGAAGGACAGAGAGGCUCUCAGCCUGAUGCCUCUCACACGUGUGACCAUUUAUUGGGAUGACACUGCCUGGCCACACUGUUAAUUUCAAUGGCAUGUUCUGUUAACAGUGCCCUGCUCUGGGAUGCCAGCUAUGCACAGUCCUAGACAUCUUCCUUGGAGGUGGAGAUAUUCCACGUAGGCCUAUAAAAAAGGAAAAUUAAUUGUGUCUACACACCCACACAUUUUCUUAAAAUACCACUAAUAUUUUACAUUCCUCCAAUGGCUUUUAACUGAGAAGUUUAUAAAGCAGUUUGAAACCCCAACAUCGACCCUGCUCCCUAGAAGAGAGCCCUUCCUGCACUGCAGUGUCCAGCAGCGUGUCAGAACAGGGGACUUGGUACAAGGAUGAGUCUGGCCAUCUCUUCACCAACAGCUGAUGAGCAGCAGGUGGUUUAA